AAGGGGCCGGUCGAACCAGCCAUCCUCUCAUCACACCGUUCAUUCGGUGACCGGUUACGGUCGCAGUGAGUCGCGUAAGCGGUCUGCUUCGAAUCGAAAAGUGAACUGAAACAAAAUCGCGCAUGGUCCUUAGACGAAUCUUAUAAAAAAAGAAGUUUCAUUUUUUAUUUUUAUUUUUUAUUUUUUUAACCCUCUACCGCUUCACAUCUUGUUCGAGUUUGGAAAGGUGGUGUUCUUUUUCAUUUUUCAAUCCCAUAUUUUGCGUCGUGUGCUUGCUUAGUCGUAGACACUGAAGAGGAUAUAUAUAUAUUGUUUGUUUGUAUCGACAUUAAACAUUGUUGAUUUUUUUCAUCUCUCGUGAUCAUGCUGAAGCUGGAAAUGAACAUGAGGAUACUGACAUUGCUUGUCAUUGGAAUAAUUGCUGUCACCGCAUCUACUGAUGGAAAUCAAAAACUGAAGCCAUCAUCUGUUUCAGGUAAGAAAUUUGUUUCAUCCUGGGAUCGAGGAUAUGAGAAAGCUGAGCCAUAUUUCUUUUAAGAGUAUUGAAUAACUUCAACCAAGUAUUAUAGCUAAUACAUUUUAUAAUAUGCCUGAGGUUUAUCGAUCAUUAUUCCGUUAAAAAAUUGUAUUAUUUUAUUGACAAAAGUUUAAGUAAUACUGAGAGAAAUUUAUAAAAUUAAAACUUUU